rnacentral:misc_RNA from 1 species
UCCGGUUUGUCACCGGCAGUCUCCUUAGAGUUCCCACCAUUACGUGCUGGCAAAUAAGGACAAGGGUUGCGCUCGUUACGGGACUUAACCCAACAUUUCACAACACGAGCUGACGACAGCCAUGCAGCACCUGUCUUACAGUUCCCGAAGGCACCCCGGAAUCUCUUCCGGGUUCUGUAGAUGUCAAGGGUAGGUAAGGUUCUUCGCGUUGCAUCGAAUUAAACCACAUGCUCCACCGCUUGUGCGGGCCCCCGUCAAUUCAUUUGAGUUUUAACCUUGCGGCCGUACUCCCCAGGCGGUCGACUUAUCGCGUUAACUUCGCCACAAAGUGCGCUAGGCACCCAACGGCUGGUCGACAUCGUUUACGGCGUGGACUAC